rnacentral:tRNA from 1 species
AAGGCUCUAGCUUAAUUAAAGCAUCUGGGUUGCAUUCAGGAGAUGCAGGGUAACAUCCUGCGAGUCUUA